GUUUAUUAUAAACUCAGAACCUUUUUUUAUUAUGAAAAACAGAUGUUUUCAUAAAAUUCAAAUAUUUCAAAGUAUUGCGAUACUUUUGAUGGGGAGUGUAUUAGUAACAACAAAUUAAAAUUUUGUUAAAUUAUAAUUGAAUAUCUGUCUAAUUUAUUAUUUUUAUCACACCUUAAUGACCUUUUAAUGUAACAGCUAACUACUUAAUUACAACUUGUAACUAUACAUGUGUUGUACAGUACAUAAAAAUCAGAAAUAUUUGUGUUUCUAAAAUUUCUUUUUUGAAUCACUGAACUUACAAUUUGAAAAUGGAAGUUUUUCAUCAUCAAUAAAAAUUAAAAUUAAAUUUAGAAAUUUGGUCAUCCUUGAUUGUUAUACGUUCAGACAUUAACCUAGGCAGGAUGUUAAUUCAUCCAGUCUAUGCAAGUUUUAAGUGCAUCAAUCAUAAUGCUUUAACUUAUAAAAGAAAUUACAGACUGAAGAUGGUGAAAAUUUGGAAUCAUGGAAAUAAUGGAACUGACAUGAUCAGAAAUGACAAAAAUACAGUAUUUGGAUUUUAA